rnacentral:rRNA from 1 species
GUCCGAAGCGGCGGACGGGUGAGUAACGCGUGAGAAUCUGCCCAUUUGUGGGGGAUAACUCGGGGAAACUCGAGCUAAUACCGCAUAAUCCCUACGGGGGAAAGCAGGGGACCUUCGGGCCUUGUGCAGAUGGAUGAGCUCGCGUCGGAUUAGCUUGUUGGUGAGGUAAAGGCUCACCAAGGCGACGAUCCGUAGCUGGUCUGAGAGGAUGAUCAGCCACACCGGGACUGAGACACGGCCCGGACUCCUACGGGAGGCAGCAGUGGGGAAUCUUGGACAAUGGGGGCAACCCUGAUCCAGCCAUGCCGCGUGUGUGAAGAAGGCCUUCGGGUUGUAAAGCACUUUCAGUAGGGAGGAAGGCUUACCGCUAAUAACGGUGAGUACUUGACGUUACCUACAGAAGAAGCACCGGCUAAUUUCGUGCCAGCAGCCGCGGUAAUACGAAAGGUGCGAGCGUUAAUCGGAAUUACUGGGCGUAAAGCGCGCGUAGGCGGUUUGUUAAGUCAGAUGUGAAAGCCCCGGGCUCAACCUGGGAAUUGCAUUUGAAACUGGCAGGCUAGAGUGCAGUAGAGGGAGGUGGAAUUUCCGGUGUAGCGGUGAAAUGCGUAGAGAUCGGAAGGAACACCAGUGGCGAAGGCGGCCUCCUGGACUGACACUGACGCUGAGGUGCGAAAGCGUGGGGAGCAAACAGGAUUAGAUACCCUGGUAGUCCACGCCGUAAACGAUGUCUACUAGUCGUUGGGAAUCUUAGUAUUCUUAGUGACGAAGUUAACGCGAUAAGUAGACCGCCUGGGGAGUACGGCCGCGAGGUUAAAACUCAAAUGAAUUGACGGGGGCCCGCACAAGCGGUGGAGCAUGUGGUUUAAUUCGAUGCAACGCGAAGAACCUUACCAGCCUUGACAUCCUUGGAACUUUCUAGAAUAAUUGGUGCCUUCGGGAGCCAAGUGACAGU